CCUACGGGAGGCAGCAGUGAGGAAUAUUGGUCAAUGGCCGGGAGGCUGAACCAGCCAAGUCGCGUGAGGGAAGACGGCCCUACGGGUUGUAAACCUCUUUUGUCAGGGAGCAAGGUGCAGGUCGGGACCUGCUGUGAGAGUACCUGAAGAAACAGCAUCGGCUAACUCCGUGCCAGCAGCCGCGGUAAUACGGAGGAUGCGAGCGUUAUCCGGAUUCACUGGGUGUAAAGGGAGCGUAGACGGCCAUGCAAGCCAGGGGUGAAAGCCCGGGGCCCAACCCCGGGACUGCCCUUGGAACUGCAUGGCUGGAGUGCGGGAGGGGCAGGCGGAAUUCCUGGUGUAGAGGUGAAAUGCGUAGAUAUCGAGAGGAACACUCGUGGCGAAGGCGGGUUCCUGGACAUUAACUGACGCUGAGGCACGAAGGCCAGGGGAGCGAAAGGGAUUAGAUACCCGAGUAGUC
rnacentral:rRNA from 1 species